GUUGAUGAGUGGUGGAUUUCCACUCAUUUGAGGCUCUUUUUGUAGUUAUUUUGGCUUACUUUAGUUAAGAAUUUAAUGUUUUUUUUUUCCAUAUUUGCACGAAAAUGAGAUGGAGAGUUGAUUUUGGAGAUAUCUAAAGAACCAAGUGAACUUGAGGCAAAAAGAGGUCAAGAGCUGGAAAUGCAAUAUUUGUUCAUUUUCCUAAUCUCUUAUAGCCAUGGACGGAGCUGUGUAUGCAUGAUUAAGAGUUUCAUCAGUUUCUGUGGGGAAGAAUGCUGUAUUGGUUCUUUCGCAUAUUAUAACGAACCACAUGAUGAAGGUUUGGCUGGAUUAUCAAACAUUUAUACAUACCUAAAGAUAUCAUUCUCAAACAAAGUUUGUUUUCUCCCUCUCUCUCUUAUUCUAUUGGUUGAGUCUAGGCGAAACUUCUAAGCUUAAUGGUUUGUUGCCUUUUCUUUUCUUGAAUUAAUUUUCAUUUUGUGUUUUAAAUUUGUACAGAGUCUCCCGCUGAGUUCUUUGCAGAUAACAAAAACAUUGCUGGUUUUGACAAUGUGAACGCAUAAAAAAUCGCUGAAUAGUAUCUUCCCUUCCACGAGUGAAGACGGGGAGGUCUUUGCACUUCCAUCAGGUAUUCAAACAAGAUCGAUGCUGAGUUUUCUGACCCGUUCCUUAGCAUACUUUAAGCAUGUACUGCAACAUUAUAACUAUACUGAAUGACAUGAUGAAAGGUUUGGCUGGAUUAUCAAACAUUUAUACAUAUACCUAAAGAUAGCAUUCUCAAACAGAGGUCUCCCGCUCUGUUCUUUGCAGAUAACAAAAACAUUGCUAGUUUCGACAAUGUGAGUUUCUUAUAUGUUUAGGAUGUCUUAUAAUUUUAACUUUUUUAUAAUCACACAUUAGCUUGAUGAUUAAGGAUGUCUUAUAAUUUUAGCUUUUUUAUAAUGUUAUAGUCACACAUUAGUUUGAUGA